rnacentral:rRNA from 1 species
GGAGAACGUGCCCUUAAGUGGAGGAUAAUCUCGGGAAAUUGAGGAUAAUACUCCAUAGAUCAUGGGAUCUGGAAUGACCCAUGGUUGAAAGUUCCGGCGCUUAAGGAUCGCUCUGCGGCUUAUCAGGUUGUAGUGGGUGUAAUGUACCCCCUAGCCUAUUACGGGUAUGGGCCUUGAGAGAGGGAGCCCAGAGUUGGAUUCUGAGACACGAAUCCAGGCCCUACGGGGCGCAGCAGUCGCGAAAACUUCACAAUGGGCGAAAGCCCGAUGAGGGAAUUCCUAGUGCUAGCACUUUUGUGUUAGCUUUUCUUUAGCGUAGAUAACUAGAGGAAUAAGGGCUGGGUAAGACGGGUGCCAGCCGCCGCGGUAAUACCCGCAGCCCGAGUGGUGGUCGAUUUUAUUGAGUCUAAAACGUUCGUAGCCGGUCUGAUAGAUCCUUGGGUAAAUCGGGGGGCUUAACCUUCCGAAUUCCGAGGAGACCGUCAGGCUUGGGAUCGGGAGAGGUAAGAGGUACUUCAGGGGUAGGGGUAAAAUCCUGUAAUCCUUGGAGGACCACCGGUGGCGAAGGCGUCUUACUAGAACGAAUCCGACGGUGAGGGACGAAGCCCUAGGUCGCAAACGGGAUUAGAUACCCCGGUAGUCUAGGGUGUAAACGCUGCAGACUUGGUGUUGGAGGCCCUUCGGGGGCAUUCAGUGCCGGAGAGAAGUUGUUAAGUCUGCUACUUGGGGAGUACGUCCGCAAGGAUGAAACUUAA